UUCACCGCUGCGAAGCCAACUUUACGGGCGCGCCGCCGACUCGUUUCCGUCAGUGCCAGCGGACCGUCGAGCGUGCGUUGCACCGAUUGGCUCCGGGUUGCAGUAUGACGGGGUACAGCGCACCAAACUGCGCAAAUUGCACGGAAGGUGGCAAAGCCUUUUACACGAAGCCGGCCGGCUCCGAAAAGGACAGGAUAUGCGAGGUGCGUUCGCCUUGUUUACAGAGCUUCGAAUUCUGCCCCCCAAGGCUCCAAGAACCAGCACUCAUCCCCUGAUGCCACCAGCCAUUGCUCAUCCAUUCCCUCGUACGAAAUAAAUUUGA